ACUCCUACGGGAGGCAGCAGUGGGGAAUAUUGCACAAUGGGCGCAAGCCUGAUGCAGCCAUGCCGCGUGUGUGAAGAAGGCCUUCGGGUUGUAAAGCACUUUCAGUUGUGAGGAAGGUGGUGUCGUUAAUAGCGGCAUCAUUUGACGUUAGCAACAGAAGAAGCACCGGCUAACUCCGUGCCAGCAGCCGCGGUAAUACGGAGGGUGCGAGCGUUAAUCGGAAUUACUGGGCGUAAAGCGCAUGCAGGUGGUUUGUUAAGUCAGAUGUGAAAGCCCGGGGCUCAACCUCGGAACUGCAUUUGAAACUGGCAGACUAGAGUACUGUAGAGGGGGGUAGAAUUUCAGGUGUAGCAGUGAAAUGCGUAGAGAUCUGAAGGAAUACCGGUGGCGAAGGCGGCCCCCUGGACAAAGACUGACGCUCAGAUGCGAAAGCGUGGGGAGCAAACAGGAUUAGAUACCCUGGUAGCUACGAG
rnacentral:rRNA from 1 species